AUUGGACAAUGGGGGGAACCCUGAUCCAGCCAUGCCGCGUGUGUGAAGAAGGCCUUUUGGUUGUAAAGCACUUUAAGCAGUGAAGAAGACUCUAUGGUUAAUACCCAUAGACGAUGACAUUAGCUGCAGAAUAAGCACCGGCUAACUCUGUGCCAGCAGCCGCGGUAAUACAGAGGGUGCAAGCGUUAAUCGGAAUUACUGGGCGUAAAGCGAGCGUAGGUGGCUUAAUAAGUCAGAUGUGAAAUCCCCGGGCUUAACCUGGGAACUGCAUCUGAUACUGUUAGGCUAGAGUAGGUGAGAGGGAGGUAGAAUUUCAGGUGUAGCGGUGAAAUGCGUAGAGAUCUGAAGGAAUACCGAUGGCGAAGGCAGCCUCCUGGCAUCAUACUGACACUGAGGUUCGAAAGCGUGGGUAGCAAACAGGAUUAGAUACCCUGGUAGUCCACGCCGUAAACGAUGUCUACUAGUCGUUGGGGAACUUGAUUCCUUAGUGACGCAGCUAACGCAAUAAGUAGACCGCCUGGGGAGUACGGCCGCAAGGUUAAAACUCAAAUGAAUUGACGGGGCCCCAUC
rnacentral:rRNA from 1 species